rnacentral:rRNA from 1 species
GGGGAAUCCCAAGUGCGAGGGCAUAUUAGCCCUCGCUUUUCUCGACUCUAAGGUGGUCGACGAAUAAGAGCUGGGCAAGACCGGUGCCAACCGCCGCGGUAAUACCGGCAGCACAAGUGAUGGCCGAUCUUAUUGGGCCUAAAGCGUCCGUAGCCGGCCGAGCGGGUCCGUCGGGAAAUCCGCGUGCUCAACGCGCGGGCGUCCGGCGGAAACCACUCGGCUUGGGGCCGGAGGACUCGAGGGGUACGUCCGGGGUAGGAGUGAAAUCCCGUAAUCCUGGACGGACCGCCGAUGGCGAAAGCACCUCGAGAGGACGGACCCGACGGUGAGGGACGAAAGCCAGGGUCUCGAACCGGAUUAGAUACCCGGGUAGUCCUGGCCGUAAACAAUGCUCGCUAGGUAUGUCACGCGCCAUGAGCACGUGAUGUGCCGUAGUGAAGACGAUAAGCGAGCCGCCUGGGAAGUACGUCCGCAAGGAUGAAACUUAAAGGAAUUGGCGGGGGAGCACCACAACCGGAGGAGCCUGCGGUUUAAUUGGACUCAACGCCGGACAUCUCACCGGUCCCGACAGUAGUAAUGACAGUCAGGUUGACGACUUUACUCGACGCUACUGAGAGGAGGUGCAUGGCCGCCGUCAGCUCGUACCGUGAGGCGUCCUGUUAAGUCAGGCAACGAGCGAGACCCGCACUUCUAGUUGCCAGCAACACCCUUGUGGUGGUUGGGUACACUAGGAGGACUGCCAUUGCUAAAAUGGAGGAAGGAACGGGCAACGGUAGGUCAGUAUGCCCCGAAUGGACCGGGCAACACGCGGGCUACAAUGGCUCUGACAGUGGGAUGCAACGCCGAGAGGCGGAGCUAAUCUCCAAACGGAGUCGUAGUUCGGACUGCGGGCUGAAACCCGCCCGCAUGAAGCUGGAUUCGGUAGUAAUCGCGUGU